rnacentral:rRNA from 1 species
UACGUGGGGUGCAAGCGUUGUUCGGAAUUACUGGGCGUAAAGGGCGCGUAGGCGGCCACCGCAAGUCGACUGUGAAAUCUCCGGGCUUAACCCGGAACGGUCAGCCGAUACUGCGGGGCUAGAGUGCAGAAGGGGCAACUGGAAUUCUCGGUGUAGCGGUGAAAUGCGUAGAUAUCGAGAGGAACACCUGCGGCGAAGGCGGGUUGCUGGGCUGACACUGACGCUGAUGUGCGAAAGCUAGGGGAGCGAACGGG